GACGAACGCUGGCGGCGUGCCUAAUACAUGCAAGUCGAACGCAGUGGGGACGGGUGAGUAACACGUGGGUAACCUCCCAUCAGAGGGGAUAACACUUGGAAACAGGUGCUAAACCGAUACUGAUGGAUGGACCCGCGGUGCAGUAGCUAGUUGGUGAGGUCACGGCUCACCAAGGCCAAGAUGCAUAGCCGACCUGGGAGGACGAACAGCCACAUUGGGACUGAGACACGGCCCAGACUCCGACGGGAGGCAGCAGUGGGGAAUGUUGGGCAAUGGGUGAAACCCUGAUCCAGCCAUCCCGCGUGUAUGAUGAAGGUCUGCGGGUUGUAAAGUUCUUUUGGCAGAGAAGCGGUAUCUGCAGAAUAAGCACCGGCUAACUACGUGCCAGCAGCCGCGGUAAUAC
rnacentral:rRNA from 1 species